CAGUCGCCGCGGUAAUACGUAGGGUGCUAGCGUUAAUCGGAAUUACUGGGCGUAAAGCGUGCGCAGGCGGUUCGUUAAGACAGAUGUGAAAUCCCCGGGCUUAACCUGGGAACUGCAUUUGUGACUGGCGAGCUAGAGUAUGGCAGAGGGGGGUAGAAUUCCACGUGUAGCAGUGAAAUGCGUAGAGAUGUGGAGGAAUACCGAUGGCGAAGGCAGCCCCCUGGGCCAAUACUGACGCUCAUGCACGAAAGCGUGGGGAGCAAACAGGAUUAGAUACCCCCGUAGUCCCUGUCUCUUAUAC
rnacentral:rRNA from 1 species